rnacentral:rRNA from 1 species
GUGGGGAAUCUUGCGCAAUGGGCGAAAGCCUGACGCAGCAACGCCGCGUGAGGGAAGACGGCUUUCGGGUUGUAAACCUCUUUCAGGAGGGACGAAGCUUCCGAGGUUAAUAGCCUACGGGGUGACGGUACCUCCAGAAGAAGCCCCGGCUAACUACGUGCCAGCAGCCGCGGUAAUACGUAGGGGGCAAGCGUUGUCCGGAAUCAUUGGGCGUAAAGCGCGUGUAGGUGGCUUGGUAAGUCCGGUGUGAAACCUUGGGGCUCAACCCCAAGCCUGCAUCGGAUACUGCCUCGCUUGAGUUCGGGAGGGGAGAGCGGAAUUCCUAGUGUAGCGGUGAAAUGCGCAGAUAUUAGGAAGAACACCGGUGGCGAAGGCGGCUCUCUGGAACGAUACUGACACUGAGACGCGAAAGCGUGGGUAGCGAACAGGAUUAGAAACCCGAGUAGUCC